rnacentral:rRNA from 1 species
AACGUAGGAGACGACCGUUAUCCGGAGUUACGGGGCGGAAAGGGCGUGUAGGCGGUUUGUUAAGUCUGGCGUGAAAGCUCUCGGCUAAACCGGGAGAGGUCGUUGGAUACUGGCGAACUCGAGGAUGGUAGAGGCGUGUGGAAUUCCGGGUGUAGUGGUGAAAUGCGUAGAGAUCCGGAGGAACACCAGUGGCGAAGGCGACACGCUGGGCCAUACCUGACGCUGAGACGCGAAAGCGUGGGGAGCAAACAGG